rnacentral:rRNA from 1 species
UUCCGGUUGAUCCUGCCGGACCUGACUGCUAUCGGAUUGAUACUAAGCCAUGCGAGUCAUUGUAGCAAUACAAGGCAUACGGCUCAGUAACGCGUAGUCAACCUAACCUAUGGACGGGAAUAACCUCGGGAAACUGAGAAUAAUGCCCGAUAGAACAUUAUGCCUGGAAUGGUUUAUGUUCCAAAUGAUUUAUCGCCGUAGGAUGGGACUGCGGCCUAUCAGUUUGUUGGUGAGGUAAUGGCCCACCAAGACUAUUACAGGUACGGGCUCUGAGAGGAGUAGCCCGGAGAUGGGUACUGAGACACGGACCCAGGCCCUAUGGGGCGCAGCAGGCGAGAAAACUUUGCAAUGUGCGAAAGCACGACAAGGUUAAUCCGAGUGGUUUCUGCUAAAGAAACCUUUUGUCAGUCCUAGAAACACUGAUGAAUAAGGGGUGGGCAAGUUCUGGUGUCAGCCGCCGCGGUAAAACCAGCACCUCAAGUGGUCAGGAUGAUUAUUGGGCCUAAAGCAUCCGUAGCCGGCUCUGUAAGUUUUCGGUUAAAUCUGUACGCUCAACGUACAGGCUGCCGGGAAUACUGCAGAGCUAGGGAGUGGGAGAGGUAGACGGUACUCGGUAGGAAGGGGUAAAAUCCUUUGAUCUAUUGAUGACCACCUGUGGCGAAGGCGGUCUACCAGAACACGUCCGACGGUGAGGGAUGAAAGCUGGGGGAGCAAACCGGAUUAGAUACCCGGGUAGUCCCAGCUGUAAACUAUGCAAACUCAGUGAUGCAUUGGCUUGUGGCCAAUGCAGUGCUGCAGGGAAGCCGUUAAGUUUGCCGCCUGGGAAGUACGUACGCAAGUAUGAAACUUAAAGGAAUUGGCGGGGGAGCACCACAAGGGGUGAAGCCUGCGGUUCAAUUGGAGUCAACGCCGGG